UACGUAGGGUGCGAGCGUUGUCCGGAAUUACUGGGCGUAAAGAGCUCGUAGGCGGCUCGUCGCGUCGACCGUGAAAACCCGCAGCUUAACUGCGGGCCUGCGGUUGAUACGGGCGGGCUAGAGUUCGGUAGGGGAGACUGGAAUUCCUGGUGUAGCGGUGAAAUGCGCAGAUAUCAGGAGGAACACCGGUGGCGAAGGCGGGUCUCUGGGCCGAUACUGACGCUGAGGAGCGAAAGCGUGGGGAGCGAACAGG
rnacentral:rRNA from 1 species